UAGAAUAAACAAUAAUUUAUGCAAAUUAUUAGGUAAAUUGGCAGUUUGUCUGUCCAAGUUUUGUUUGUAUUGCUUGAUGUAUUGGCUUGUAAGGGAAUCUUGUAAUGCAAAUAAAUUAAACUGAGAAAGCACAUGCAUACAAAAUUACAAAUUAGGUAGUUAUCAACAUCAGGCAUAACCAUAUCACCAUAAUUGGGAAAGUAUUACCAAUCUAAAGAGCGUACAUGAUAAUCCUAACCUAGAAUA
rnacentral:misc_RNA from 1 species